CGUAUACUAUUCAUUUUUAUCGGGUCCUAUUCGGAUCCGGAUAGGGUCCGGGUAGGGUCCGAGUCGGGUAUGGUAUAUCAGAUAUUUUGGACAGCUUUAUAUAUACCAGAAUGUAAUAGCAAAAGGGACAUGAACGAAAUUGGUAUUACUUUCUUCCUAAUUCUCCUGUCGCUCUUCUUUCCCCCCUGCUCUGCCUUCUCCCUCUCAAUCUCCUCUUCCCCAAUCUCUCUCAACCUAUUCCUAUCCUCUUCCCUCUUCUAUCCAGCAAUCUUUAACUCCCAACCGGACACCAUCAUCCUUCCUGCCGUCCUCGUCUCAGCGACAUCUCAUCAUCAAUGGGUUGCAAGUCC
rnacentral:lncRNA from 1 species